rnacentral:rRNA from 1 species
GGAAUAUUGCACAAUGGGCGCAAGCCUGAUGCAGCAACGCCGCGUGAGGGACGACGGCCUUCGGGUUGUAAACCUCUUUUAGUAGGGAAGAAGCGAAAGUGACGGUACCUGCAGAAAAAGCACCGGCUAACUACGUGCCAGCAGCCGCGGUAAUACGUAGGGUGCAAGCGUUGUCCGGAAUUAUUGGGCGUAAAGAGCUCGUAGGCGGUUUGUCGCGUCUGCUGUGAAAACCCGAGGCUCAACCUCGGGCCUGCAGUGGGUACGGGCAGACUAGAGUGCGGUAGGGGAGAUUGGAAUUCCUGGUGUAGCGGUGGAAUGCGCAGAUAUCAGGAGGAACACCAAUGGCGAAGGCAGAUCUCUGGGCCGUAACUGACGCUGAGGAGCGAAAGCAUGGGGAGCGAACAGGAUUAGAUACCCUGG